rnacentral:rRNA from 1 species
AAUGAACGUUGGCGGCGUGGAUUAGGCAUGCGAGUCGUGCGAGAACCGUAGCAAUACGGGGACAGCGGCGAAAGGGAGAGGAACACGUGGAUACCUACCCUCAGGUUCAGGAUAGCUAUGGGAAACUAUAGGUAAUACUGAAUAAUAUCUCCGGAUCAAAGGUGUGAUUCCGCCGGAGGAGGGGUCCGCGUCCUAUUAGCUAGUUGGUGAGGUAAUGGCUCACCAAGGCGAAGAUGGGUACGGGAUGUGAGAACAUGAUCCCGCUCAUUGGGACUGAGACACUGCCCAGACACCUACGGGUGGCUGCAGUCGAGAAUCUUCGGCAAUGGGGGAAACCCUGACCGAGCGACGCCGCGUGUGAGAUGAA